GACAGCGNAAGGUGCUUGCACCUUUCAGUGAGUGGCGAACGGGUGAGUAACACGUGGACAACCUGCCUCAAGGCUGGGGAUAACAUUUGGAAACAGAUGCUAAUACCGAAUAAAACUUAGUGUCGCAUGACACAAAGUUAAAAGGCGCUUCGGCGUCACCUAGAGAUGGAUCCGCGGUGCAUUAGUUAGUUGGUGGGGUAAAGGCCUACCAAGACAAUGAUGCAUAGCCGAGUUGAGAGACUGAUCGGCCACAUUGGGACUGAGACACGGCCCAAACUCCUACGGGAGGCUGCAGUAGGGAAUCUUCCACAAUGGGCGAAAGCCUGAUGGAGCAACGCCGCGUGUGUGAUGAAGGCUUUCGGGUCGUAAAGCACUGUUGUAUGGGAAGAACAGCUAGAAUAGGAAAUGAUUUUAGUUUGACGGUACCAUACCAGAAAGGGACGGCUAAAUACGUGCCAGCAGCCGCGGUAAUACGUAUGUCCCGAGCGUUAUCCGGAUUUAUUGGGCGUAAAGCGAGCGCAGACGGUUUAUUAAGUCUGAUGUGAAAGCCCGGAGCUCAACUCCGGAAUGGCAUUGGAAACUGGUUAACUUGAGUGCAGUAGAGGUAAGUGGAACUCCAUGUGUAGCGGUGAAAUGGCGUAGAUAAA
rnacentral:rRNA from 1 species